UACGAACUGCUGUCUUGGUGACUGCCAAAAAAGUUUUUUGACUAUGCUCUAAAUUUAAGGGCUUUAAUUUUAGGUAUCGUAGCAGUAAACCGAGCUUAGACUUGGGAACAGAGUCGAUAACCAAUCAAUGCCCACCUGGUCUUCCAGGUCAUAAACUGAGGUAAAACGAUGCAGCGGUUCUUAA
rnacentral:other from 1 species